rnacentral:lncRNA from 1 species
CAAAACAUCAGCAAAAAUGAAUAUCAAUUCACCGGAUGGCAGUCAAACGACCGAUUUGACCACCAUAAACCCUAGAGGUUGAAAACUCACCGAAAAAUCUCCGAAAAUCUCACAAAAAUCGAUUGAACCGUUCAAGAGACGAAGAACAGUCACUGAUCGUGAAGAUAAGGCUCGGAAGAACCCUAAUGGGAGUCAAAACCAUCACCGACCUUUCGAUCUCAGAAAACC